rnacentral:misc_RNA from 1 species
GAUGAAGAACGUAGCGAAAUGCGAUACUUGGUGUGAAUUGCAGAAUCCCGUGAACCAUCGAGUCUUUGAACGCAAGUUGCGCCUCAAGCCAUUAGGUUGAGGGCACGUCUGCCUGGGCGUCACAUAUCGUUGCCUGAUGCCAGUUUCCUCGUGAUGGGUGACUGUGCAGGGCGAAUGAUGGCUUCCCGUGAGCAUUGUUGCCUCAUGGUUGGUUGAAAAUUGAGUACUUGGUAGGGAGCGCCGUGAUAGAUGGUGGUUGAGUGACGAACGAGACCCAAUCAUGUGAGACCCCUACCGAAUUUGGCCUUCAUGACCCACAUGCGUCUUUGGAACGCUCAUGACGAGACCUCAGGUCAGGCGGGGCUACCCGCUGAGUUUAAGCAUAUCAAUAAGCGGAGGA